UGGGGGAUCGUCUAAUGGUAGGACAGCGGCCUUUGGAGCCGUGAGUCGGGGUUCGAAUCCCUGUCCCCCAGCCA
rnacentral:tRNA from 5 species